GGGAGAGGGCGGGAGGAAAGUGUGGAAAUCUGGAUCCCGGGGUUUGAGAGCGUAGAGACGGUUGCGCUUUUCGGAGUCUUGUUGCCCACCGUUUUGUUAGGCGUCGUUUCCUCCUCGGGCAUUUCUACUGCAUCCGCUUUUCUCCAGUCUUUUCGUGGAGAUUUAGGCUUCAGCUCGUGGAAAAUAAUCACAGAACUGGAUUUCAGGGCCCCCGGGCACCUCGCACUGAGCUCUCCGGGAAUGAAAAAUUCCUCAGGCAGUCACUUCGUCUAUUAGGGGCAAUCAGUGUUGCUGACUCCUUGGAUAUUCUUCUAAAGCAAAACGGGCAGAUCAGCUGAUGCACUCUUUCCUGUACUCGCCUGAUCGUGAGAACCACCUGGGGCGACAGUGAAAUGUACAGAUUCUGCCCCAGCUCCAGCGGAUCAGCCUGUCCAAGGAGGGGGCUCUGAACAUCUGUGUUUAACUUAGGAGAGCCUCAUCAUCAGUUUUUAAAAAAGUAACCAGCCCAAAAUAAUUCUCAUGCCAAAGAGACACAUCUUGGGGUGGCCAGUUCCAGUCCCCAACAGUAAGGGUUAUCUGGCAAGCAAAAUACCAUUGGUGGAAGUACAUCCCAAGGACCACUAAGUUCUUCAGAGAAGAAGCUGCCAAUCUCUUCCCUGAGGAAGAAGCAAAAGUCAAUGAAUCAGAGACAACUGGAGGUGCUUUCUAAGGAUGGAGUCCAAAGGGAAGUUGGAGUUUGUAGGAAAUAGAAUUUAAUUCUUUCCUUUGUCCCUGGUGUCACCUGCUUAAGCUCUUGGUGGCAGCCAGUAUUCUUAGUUAUCUGAAGGAGAAGAAAACCUGAAGAUGACUAGAAGAAUCCAAGUCACGUGAUCUAAAACAGAGUUGUGAUGAUAAAUACAAACACAGUCAAGAACUCCCCCAAGCCCUGGCAUUUCUAAAAACGGGUACAUCCAAGUGCCAGGUCUGACACUGGGUGUGUGGGUGACAGCCCUCACUGACCACCGUGAGGGUCAGCUCUGUCAGGCUACCUGGACACAGGUCUUGUUUCAGGGACAAGAUCUCCUUUGGGGACUCUGGGUGAACCGUUGGAGCUGUCUAACUGGCUGACCUGGGAAAUCCACACCAAGUGGCCAAGGCACCAGAGGGAUUGUGUUUGGACUUUAAACCACCUGCAUGCAGUCUCUGCCUUGUUCUGGGACGCAGGUAAAGAGCUCAUCUCCUUUGCAAAGCUGAGAAAAGAGUUUCCAGGGAAACACAAAAGCCAAGGUUUUCCUUCAGGAGAGAUUGAGCUGGUAGGCUAGGAUAGCACCUGGUCGUGGUGUUUACAUAAGGAGAAAGAUGACUAAGACUCAAAGAUGCCUUGACUCAAAGGUUUUUUUCCUCAUUGAUCUUCAAGUUGCCUCACCUUUGACAGUCUCUGCAAGUUGAUUGCUAAGUCUUUAACACAAAGCUUGUGAUCUUGUAUAGCUUCCUUGGGAUCUGAUGUGAUGAGAGUUUCCAAGAAGAUUUUGUAUAUUUCCUAUCCCAGACCUGGAAUUAGCUCGUUCUCCAAGGAGCUCUGACUAUUUUCAGAAGGAAACUGGAUUUCAACAGCAAAUUCUGGGUGCUGGAGUUGAAUGUACCAGAGAUUUCCAGAAGGCUGAUAUCUGAAUUGCACCUAUAAAAAGCCUAACUUUGAGUGAUGAUUAAAUUGUACGGAACAUAAUCCAAGGAUAGAAGUGAUUAACAAGAGGGCUGGGAGAAAUGACCACUGACUGAAUCCAUGGACUCAAUGGACAUUCUGUGAGCUGGACCUGGAAAAAUGAGGAAAUCAAGACACCAUGGAGCCCUUUGUGGGCGGAGCCAAUGAUGCCCAUGGGCCAUCCCUUGCCCUCCAGGUGAGCGCCCACUGCAGGUGACUGUAUUGUCCACUGAUAUUUCUGGAAGACAAACAAACUGAUGAAGAUGGCAGGCAAGUAGGAUGGUUAAGGAGGAAUGCUAGGUAGAGAGAAGAGCAUCACUUCCAAAAGGUAUCGAGGGUCAAUUUGCAGUUGGACUACAAACUUUAAGUGGGCCACAUUGUCUUUAUUAUGAAGCUUUCCAGGAGCACACAACUGAAUGGAGCUGAGACUUAGAAUGGUAGGGCGGGCAGGGAUGAGGGUCUGGCAUAGGAAACUCCCAGGAGGGAACAUGCCGUCACUUGUUUCAUUCUUCCCAUUUUCUUACCCAGUAUGGCCUUUCAGGAGACAUCAAAAUUCUGUUAUGAAAAGAAAUGACAACUUGCUCUACAGACAACCCGAAGUAGGUUAGAACCCAGAAUAACUCUUUAGGAAGAAAAGUUAACCAUUAACUAUUAAUGGUAAUGGUAUUAAUAAUAAGAAAAGUUAUCCAGUCAGUGGUCUUAGCUAUUUAAGACUGUAGGUCACUCAUCAGGGUCCUAUGUUUCCUUGAGAUAAACAUUAAAUGAUAAGUCUAUCUAAUUUGGUUGGGGGCCAAGGACCCUAUAAUGCUGCCAUUUAUUGCUAAAUUGCCUUAAUUACUUUUUAAAAUCUGCCUUUUACCCCUUAGUGGAUAUAUUAACCAAUUAUGGAUGCUGACACAAAGGUCAUGAGAGAGUCUGCGGAACACAGCAAAUUUUGAAAAUAUGAUGUUAACGUGACGUUAUUCAAAAUCCUUCAAAUGCAUUAGGAAAAAACUUGCGUAAGAUCCUCUGGAGUCUCGGGUGCAAUGUGAUAUUUUGGAACAUAUUAAUGUGAUUUUCUUUUUUUCCUUUGCUGCUCCUUGUUCAUGAAUUUUUCCCAAUCCAUCCAUUACCUGGGAGAAUAUUAGGGUAUUUGCGAUGGAACAUUCAUGGAAAACAGCGUUCAGCAUUCAUUCUAAAACAGGCUCCGAAAGCUGCCUGAACGAGCAUAAUGUUUAAUCAUAAGCAUUUGGUGGAAUGCCUUAACUGGGAGAUAGAGAAGGAUGGAGGCAGGUAGGAUGGAGGCCUGUGAGAGACCUUCAAGACGUGGAGGAGAGGAGCAGAAUCAGUAUCCACCGUCUGCUCAGCCUCUGCUUUGUCAGCACCAUGCAGCACCGUGGAGCCCUUUGUGAGCAAAGCCGCCAAUGAUGCCCAUGGGCCAUCCCUUGCCCUCCAGGUGAGUGUCCACUGCAGGUGACUGUAUUGCCCACUGACUGUCCAACAGGAGAGUGCCCUGCUGUGUCCUAAGACUGUCAGCUUGUCUAAGUUACCCUGUGUCAGCAACUGACUCAAAGGCCAAGGGUACUCCUAAGGCUCUCAGACUAGAGGACGCAGCCCAGGACACCCAAGAAGCAGUGGUGAUAUGGAAAAGUUUGGAUGGUAUUGUUCAGAUCCACCGUAAGAACUGUACUUCCCCUCCACCUGCCCCAUUGCACGUUCCCCGAAAGAGGCGGUGGUGAAGCCUUUGGCCAUGACAAAGGAAUCGUAAUACUGGCACUAAAGAGCAGACUCUUUUAUCUCUCUGAUAUCUGUUUUCCUACCACUCUACUGUGAAUUAACUCUCAAAAAAAUAGCUAGUGGAACUGAAGUAGAAAAGAGUGGCAGAAUCUCUCAUACCAGAGAGGAAAUAUAACUUGGUAGAAGCGGCAUUAUUUAAUAUUUAAGAGCACAGAUCUUGAAGCCAGAAUCAGCAAGUUCCUACUCUUCUGACCGUGAUCAAACUACUCAUUUGAGCCUGUUUUCUCAUUUGUGAAGUGAAGAUAAUACCUUUCUGGUUUAGUAUGACACCUAAAUGGGAUAGUACAUACUCGCACCCAUACACAUAGCCACGCAAUAAACCUGGUUACAUCAUUCUCAUCUCUUGGCACUACUUUCAUCCGAAUUUAUUGAACACGCAUUACCUUUGGCUGCUGUAAGUUGACUCCAGUGCAGACAAAGUUCUACAAGACCUGCAAGCAGGGUGAUGCCUUCGUGUUCCCGGAUCCCUAGCAUCCACAUACCCAACAGCAGCUUUCCCUCACAAGAGGAGUGCAGCAAGGGGAUAGUGAUAAUCACCUACUGGUCUCAGAUCCAAGAGAUGUCUCUAUCAAAAUUAUGUGCAAGGGGUCCUCAGGCCCAGAAUAUCUGUGUCGCCUUGGUCUCAAGUUUCAGGAACGAAAAAGCAGACUAUGAAGAAGAAAGCAUUGACAUCUCACUACAGUGGUACCAAGGAAAGGCGUUCCUUUCAGUAAAUAACAGACAAGAUUCCUCUUCCAAGACUCUGAUUUGGGAGACCACAGAGAGAAAACCUGGCAGAAGUGCCUCUUGUUGCUGUCUCCUACAAAGCAACAAGUUUGAGAAGUCUAACCCUGUGUUUCUACUUGGGAGCUCAGCACUAACUCUCACAGGCCUGGAGGUAUUUGGAGAGCAAGUCUUGUAGAGAAGACCAAGAAAACAAAAGGGACAGCUCUUCAGAUCCACCUUACUGGGAAUAUCACUCAGACACAACAUUCAGAAAGUCCAGGUUUAACAAAGGUCCAGAGUCUUCUAACUCACUUCUUAUAGAAGUUAUGAACUACACAGCAGCAGCAAUGACAACAAGCACAACAAAGCAGCCUCAGUUCUCUAGUUCUGCAGCAGGAUUCAGGGACCCCCAGGGGCUUAAUAGAGAUGCAAUCUCAGAAUGUAAGUACAGGUGCUUAGGCCAACCAGGAAGAUAUUAUAAUUAGGUUAUUCUGAGGUUGGGGUGAAAACUACAUCUAAGGUUCUGUGAGGCCCAUGAGUGGUUAAAUGAUGAAUAAGGCAGUACUCAUCCUAGAGGAAAAUCUGGACCAGUGAAUGUAAGCUUGACUGGAAAUGCUAAAGAUAAAAACAGAAACCAGAAAAUUUUCCUGGUAAUAAUCAGGCUUCCUCGCCUUGCACAGUUCCAAUAAUACACAAAUUUCAGUGUAUUAUUCAGUGUACCCACAGUUUAAGUGAUACCAGUCCCCCAACAACACAGUUCAAAUUCUCAGUUACCUCAAUAAAUUGACUGUGAGUAAUUGCAUAAAGUAGGAACUUCACUGUUAGAUUUUCAAACCACAAAUCACUAUGUAAGUAACAGAUGCACAUGACAUUCAGUGACCAAUUGCAUCACUUCUUUCAAAGUCUAUUGGUGAUUGGCCACCACACAUCUGUUAUUCAGUUCACACACAGACAGCAAAGCAUGUAGUUGUGUUACCUCCUUGUCUUCCAGGGAUAAACUUACCUAAACAUUUGAAAAAAUGGAUAACCUAAAAGGAAAUUGGCUAAGAGAUGAAGUGCAACAAGGAAACCAAAAUUGAUAAAGCUGCAAGUGAAGUUCUAAUUGAGCAUAAAUGGAGUCAGGGAAGAAAUGGCCAUCUGUGGGAAUGUUGACACCAUCACUGUUUUCCAGAGACGAUAGACGUGCAUCCAGAGGAACUCAGUGAAGCCAAACUUAGCGACACAAAUGAGGAAUAUGGCGGUGAUGAAAAGGAUGAAGAUAUCCCAGAAGAAGGCACACUGGCAAAAAACCCUCACAUUAAAGAAACUCUGGGAGGAAUUGUGCUGUAUUGAAGGCACAAUGGAUAAAUAGCUGGAAACUAAUUCAGAUUUAGAAAGGAGUACAACAAUUCACGGAGGAAUAAUAAAGAGGCUCACUCCAUACCGUAUGUCAUACAGGGAGAGGAAAAGGGCGGGCACUGCUCAAACUGAGCUCGGGGGAUCCCUACAAAGAAAAAGACAUUGUACUGUUCAGCGUUUCUACUGUUUUAAACUUCAAUGUACUAAAUAAAUAUUAGUUUUACCAUUUUUAAAUUCCCCCAUAUUUUUAUAACCUACUGUAAAAGAGUCUUUAAUGUGUUGACAAAAAACUUUUAAAGGUCCCAGAACCAUUGUAAUUUUCCCUUCUUUGAUUAAUAACAUUACCUUGCAUGGUUUUUGUCUGCAGAGUCAUCUUUCCACUCUCUCAUUACCAUGCAAAUCAAGGACUGCCUGUAAAGCUGAGCUAGGAUCAUAGCAGUGGGAAGGGAAAUGAAAUGGUAAAUAAGAAACAAAGCAAAACUCCAAGGACUGUGAUUGAGUGGUUGUGAAGAACACAGUUGGAGAAGAUGGUGGGUGUGGUCAGCAGGGAGCAGAAAUAAACAGAAAAUGAUUAGAAGAAGAAAGCUGAAAAGAUAACUUUUGUGUGGAGACAGACUCCAGGAGAGGUUUAGUUUAGAAAAAGAGAGUUAUGAGCUUUAGAAACAUUAUGAUUAUUUAAGAAAGACUCAGAUAUGUGAAAUAUUGGAUGCAACAGUGCACCAAAAUUUGGCACUUUGUGACACAGUUGGGAGAACAGGCACAUAAACUGUUGGUGGUACGAGUAAAAGGAGUACUUCUCAUUCUCAUGCCAUUUCAUAUACCACUUGCUAUUUAUUUAGUAGGACAAAUUUACUUUUUAAAGUCUACCUUUAAAAAGGGGAGAAUAUCUCCUGCAUUUUCUAAAUCUGGCUGGUUUUUUUUUAAUUAGACAUGAUUUAUUUUUUUUAAGACAUCUUGUUCUCAUUGAGGGUUUGCCUCUUUGAUGAGAAAUGUCACCUUUCUGCAUCAAAAAGAGAAGUUAUUUCAGAAUUAAGGCCGACAAAGGUGGUUAGAAGAGGAAUGCAUGUAAGUGUCCUAGAGGUCAGAAAAAAAGAAGACCUUGUUCUAGGAAAGGAGUUCUGAGCAAGAGGAUCCAGCCAGCUGAGAUAGAAGCCUGUGCCCAGCAAGAGGGAACUGGAACUGACGAUUCCUUUCCUUCCCCAGAGCUUCAGCUAGGAAGACGAUUGUUCUGUAGUAUGAAGAACAGUCAUCAUUCACCACAGUUGGUUGACAUGAUUUAUUAAGUUGAAUCAAGCACAGAAAAGAAAAGUUCUUUGUGAUAGGCCAGAUUCCAUGAGUGGGAAUUCCUUGGAGUCACAUAGGGAGAGAAUACGCCCCAGUGUUGAAGGCUUUCCAGAGACUGCUUCUGUUCCACUUUCCACCCCUCCCUAAAUCACUUGCCAAAGAAAUAUUUUGCUGGACACUGAAGUGGCCACAGCUGUGGUCAUAAGAAAACAUCAGGAUGUGAAAUGAAUCAUCCUCUCUUUUAGUUAAUGUUUUUUUGAGUAUGCAGGCGGGGUAAAGGACAGGUGCUAUUAAGAUAAUAAACAUCAUUAGAGUGAUUGGAAGUGCUUCCAGUUUCCAUGAACAAAAGCUUUCCAAGGAGCUGUAAUUAUUUGUAAGGUCAGUGAACUAAAAUUUUCCCCUAUCAGUAUUAAGCAAAAAGGUCAUUAAUGUUUUAGGGGACUGUAAUGAGUCUGAAAGAGGUUGACUUGAUCCUCCCCUUUUGUAGUUCUCCAUCAGAUCACCCUAUGAUCCUCCUCAACUUCCAGACUCCUGGACGGCUGAAGUAGAACCAGCGACUGACUCUCUGACCAGCUGUUCAGGGCCUGAAGUUACCCUCCACCCAACUGGCAAGGUUUUCUACAACAUAUAUAGACUUAUCCUCAGAUGAGGAUUACCCACCCCACCCCACACCCCCCAAAAAGCCUGAGAUCAUUCCUCUAUGCUAGCUGUGAAAAAAGAGAGGUAACUAUAGUCUUUUAACCUAUCAGUGUUGGAAAAAAAUCUAUGGGUGUCCCAAAGCAUCUAGGAUUGAGGGUAUGGAGAGAAGAUUCUUCAAUCACAAGAGAAUCCCAGUUUCGCCCAUGAAGAAAAGAGAGAGGACAGGUCCAUAAGGUGUUACAGGUCUUUGGACCUUCAUGUUGUCUCCAAAGUUGGGGUUUUCUUCUAAUUCUGAAGGGCCAGCUUUGGGGACCCUUUGCCAUAGUUGUCAUCUCUCAGGAACCUUAUAAUAAACUACAAUGUUUUAAACUUGGACUAUAUCCAGGAUGUGUGCAUGUGUAUAAUAUUUUCUUAUUUAAGCCCCAAAUAUGCAGAAAUAUAAUAAACGAGACAAUGAUUUUCUCAAAGACACCAAUUUAAGCUUGCCUGACUGCAACAGUUCCAGGCAAUGAGGAUUUGGGUUCCUCAAGAAAACUUUCCAUCUUUAGCUCAUCAUCUUCCAAAGCAACUCUAAUCAUCAUCUAGCCAGUUACUGAUCAUGCUGUUCUUUGAGCCCUUCUUCAGAAGAUCCUAAAAAUCUGCUUCUAAGCAUGUCCUGAACUUUCCACCUAAGCAUAUCCUGCAGCUCUCAUUUGCCCACUUCAGCCCAUGUAGUGUAAGGAGUCACAGACAUUCCUUCGGGAAAAGAAAUGCCUAGCUGCAAAUAAUUCCCUUCAAUUGAUUUGCAGAUAGCUCCAUUAACAUCACCCAAGUUUCAAAGUUACGUUUUGCAAAUUAGACCCAGUGCUGCUCAGACAACACUCUUCAUCUGUCUUUGUUCUCAGUAGCAGUAUAAACUAAUAUUAAGAUAACUGUGCUGUCCUUUUAGAACUUACCUUCAUAUAUGAAUACAAAUAAUGGAUAAGUUUAUCAAAGAGAUUUAUUAUGUAAGAAAUUCAUUAUGAAAGAGUUUAAUGAUGGAAGAAAUUCAUCAAUGCGUUUGUGCAUUUCACGAAGGGUGACAUAAUCCAAAUACGUAUUGCUAAAUUAAAUGUUAUUUCCACAACAAGAGAAAUAUCCACCCCUCUUUCUCCUGAUGUAAAACUCUGGUCUUGGCUUCCACAGCUGCACUUGGCUCUGUAAUCUUCAACUCUCCACCCUCAGGGUUCCAAACACACACCCUACCUCGCAUCCCAUGCAGUUACCGCCUCUGCGCCCACACAGCUGAACUCCAUGGGGUGUUUUAGCAAUCAUAGGAUCUAAUUCCCACUUCUUAUUGUGAGAGCUGAGAUUUACGAUCCCCAUAGAGAUUUCAACAGAAAGAUGAGGGUAAAUUGCUCAGAGGAACUCGGUUUAAAAUGUUGCCUCGAAAUUCCCCGCUCACCACCCCAUCUAUCAUGGGUCAAAAUAAAAACACACAUGAGCUAACAUUACAGGAUCUAACAGGGUGAAAAAUGUUUUGGAAUUAGCAACAAUCCAUUCCUAACAAUGUAUUAUCUCUGAAAUUCCUUUCUGGAACAAUGAUCUUGAUUUGAAAUUUUAAAAAACAUCAAGCAAACCUGUUAAUAAGACAUAAGUAGUGAGUGACUAAGAACAAGCUGGAAGAAGACAUCGACAAGGACCUCAGCUUCUGAGGAGAGACAUUUACUUUUAACCAUUUUAACAAGCAAGCAAACUUUAAAAUAUUAACAAGUUUCUGUGUAAGAGACGUCUGGCUAGUCCCUGACAGAGCCUCACCCAGCUUCCCACAAAAACGCCCGUGAAGACACAGGCAAGCAUGGGAGUUCACAUCACCACUGAAGAAUCAAGAAUGGCAGCCAGCCGAGUGACAGAACCCAGGAAGACUUCCACCAUUAGGCCUAUCAAACUCAACUGAGAAACGCAAUAGGUGGCUCAAGCCUAGAAACAGAGUAAAUCUGAUGACUUGAAAAAGGGCCUGAGAUAUUUUAUCUUGUUCCUCAUUUCUGCAGAAAAUUGGACUGCUCUUCAUCUAUUGUGUGGGCAUAACUUUUAGAGGCAACCAGAAUGAUGUCUCCAUUCUCUUUCUGUUUCCCCAGUCACCUCUCUUAAACUAUAAGUACUUCUCUCAUACAUUACAUGUCCUGCUUUUCACUCUUCUGUAAUAGUUUUAAAAGGCUACUUGCGGAAGUAAUACAUGCCUACUGGGGAAAAUUCAGAGAAUCAGAAAACUUCAAAAAAAAUUAAUCACCAGAGAUACCUGACAUCAAUAUCUUGGCACACUUUACCGUCCGUAUAUAUUUUUAUGUACCUACACCCUUUAGCGGCCCUUGAUGCUGCCUGUCCCUUCUAGCCCCUUUACUUGCAUCCUCCUAGAGGAUGGUUUCACACUCUCUUCUCUUUCUUCAAACCUCAACAUCCCUUCUCUGCUUCCUACUUUCCACUGAAGACUUUGACUCUUAGGCAGAAGCAAUCAGAACAGAUGUUUCUACAAAACGCACGAGGCAUGGGCAUCGGUCCCAUGCCCUUUGCAUUUCAUCUGCUCCUAGGAUGAACCCUCCACUUUUCACUGCAUCCCAUUCCCCUCUCUUCCUUAAGGGCUUUGCUCCUGUAAUUAUUGUUUCCACUCCUGCCUCAUCAUUUUUUUCCUUCUUUCGUGGGUCAUUGCCAAGAGGAAAAUACGCCGUAAAAAUGUUCAUUUUAUAAAAACCUUAUCUUGACUCCGUAUCUCUCUCAGCUCCUGCCCAGUUUUAAGCUUUCUCCUUUAGAGGGAAAGUGCUUGCAAGAGUUGUCCAUGUCCAGUGUUUGUUCUUAUCUUCUCCUCUUCUCUCGACAACUCAGUUCGACCUGGGCAACGAUCACAGCAAAGUUGCUAAAUACAAUGAUCAGUGUUCAGGCCGGAGAUGAUUGACCUGACAGCAGCUUUGAGACUGUAGAUCACUCUGUUCAUCUCCAUACAAUUUCUUUAUGUGGCUUUUAUGACACCACUGACACACUUUCUUGGUUUUCAGUCUACUUCGUUGGCUCUUGCCUUUGCUGAAUCCCUAUGUUCCCAGCUACGAGCUACCACAUCAUUUUCAGGGUACAGUGCAAAAUGAAAAUGCAGGACCCUCGUUCAAAAGUUAUUAAGGUUUUCAAGACAGUGAGAGCCGAGCAUUAAACCAAGCACAGGGCCCUUUUAAGUACAAAGUCUCAUGUGACUACACAGGUCAUGUGCCAAUGAAGCUGGCCUUGUUCCCAUCCUCACAGUUCUUCAGUGCCCAUGGCUCAGUGCUCAUCUAUUCACACUCGCUUCCUAAAUGAUCUCACCCAAGCCAAUUGGCUUUAGAUGCCACAUACAGAGACAAGGUCCAUUUUAUCUUCAGCUCUAACUUUCCCAUUUGACUCCAAAUUCAAAUAUCAACUGCCUAUUCUCCUUGUCUGUUGGAUAUAUUAAAUGCAUCUCAACUUAACAUGUCCAAACUGGAACUCUCAUUUCUCACCCAAAUCCCUCCCACAGCCUUCUCCAUUUCAGUAAAUAUCAACUCCAUUUUUCUAGUUGUUCAGGCCAAAAUCAUUACAAUGAUCCUCAACUUUGCAUUUUCUCUCUAAUCUACCAGCAAAUCCUGUAAGUUCUACCUUCAAAGUAUCUCCCAAAUCUGACCAAUCAGGACGUACAAACACUUGUAACCCUGGUGCAAGUCCCCAUCACAACUCAUCUAUUCUAGUAGAGACUUAGGCCAAUGGGCUUCCACUUCUGCCCUUGACAGUCUGUUCCCCACAUAGCCAUCAGUCAUCCUUUUAAAAUUUAAAUCAUAGUUUGUCACUCCAAAAUGGCAAACUUGGAAGCUUUGAAUAGCUUCUCAUCUCAUCCAUAAUUUCUUUUAAAGUCUCUAAAAUAGCCCAAGAGGCUCUGUGUAGCCUGCUUCUGGCUACUUCUCCAACCUCAACUGUCACUACCCCCUCAGUCACUUCAGUCAGCCCCAUUAGCUUUCUUGCUGUUCCUCAAACUUUCUUCUGCACUAUGAUUUCCUCAGUCUGGAAAGCUCUUCACUCAGAUAUUUGAAUGACUUGCUCUAUCAAUUCAGUGAGAAUUUGACUUAAAUGGCACCUCCUCACACAGUUCUCUGUGUUGGACAAAAACCUUGUACAGCUCCUCAGACUCUCUUGAUUGUUUCCCUUGUUCGGGAAGAGGCCACAUACCUCCUGGACCAUGCCAUGCCACCACCAUUUUUGUUGAGCCCCCAGAGAUGACAAGAAUCUGGAAAAGUCCUACCAGUUUCACAUCUCCACUCACUUCUGGAUUUAGAUGAAAUGCCACACCACAGGGCAUGGACUCUGCCUUCCUGACCAGCCAUCUGGGGCCCAAUAAUAUAUCCUUGAAGAGCAAGGGAGUCAGCUCUUUAUAACCAGUGGAAAACAGGAGACUGGAGGAGUCAAGCAGAAAAGGGUAAAGAGUAGAUCUAGAAGGAUACAUGAAAAAUAAUCGGUACACCCUCUAUCCUCCUACUCUGUUUUUUCUUUUUUUUGCAGACGUGUCUUAUCAUGUUAUCUGUAUGUAUGCCCUUGAUGGCAAAGAUCCCGUCUUUUAUGUUUAUUGUGAUAUCGCUAGUUCUUAGACCAGCAUCUAGCACAUAGUAGGCCCUCAAUAAAUAUUUCUGUGAAAGAAUGAGUGAAGAUGCAAUACUAACUUCACAAUUUCUCAUCUUGGUUUUUCACUCAACACAAUAGUUUUUGGUUUUCUUUUUACAUAAACUAUUUUUCCUAAAGGAAAUAAUAGCUUCUUUGGGGAUUCUAAUAUAAAUAUACAUGAAAGUUAUGAUACUACCAAAUUAAAUUGUUUAAGCAAGAUAUUUAGAGAGUAUUAGUGAUUUUAUAAUAAAUGAUGCUUUCAUGUGGUCUAAUUGGUCAAGAAAAAGGUAAAGGUGUGUAGUGAUGACUAGAGCUAUUAGAAAAGGCAUUUGGCAGGUAGGUGGCAAAGAACCAUCAGAAAAUUCAGAGCGACCACAUAAGCAAAGAUACAAAGCAGAAAUGAUAGGGGAGGGAAAUUUCGAAGGCAGAAGACUGGCCCUGUUAGAACCCUUCACUUGGGAAACAAGUAUGGCUACAGAGUAGGGAGGUAAAGUACUUGAAAGAGAUAACAAGUGUUGGCAAGGAUGUGGAGAAGAGGGGACCCUCAUGCACUGUUGGUGGGAAUGUAAAGUGGUGCAGCCACUAUGGAAAGCAGUAUGAAGAUUCCUCAAAAAAUUAGAAAUAGAAAUACUAUAUGACCCAGCUAUCUCACUUCCAGGUCUGUAUCUGAAGGAAACGAAAACAGGAUCUCAAAGACAUAUGUGCACCCCCAUGUUCCUUGCAGCAUUUUUCAUAAGAGCCAAGACAUGGAAACAAUCUAAGUGUUAAGCAACAAAUGAACAGAUAAAGACAAUGUGAUAUGUUUAAUGGAAUAUUAUUCAUCCAUAAUAAAGAAGGAAAUCCUACUAUUUGCGACAACGUAGAUGAACUUUGAGGGCAUUCUGCUGAGUGAAAUAAG